AGAGUUUGAUCAUGGCUCAGGAUGAACGCUAGCGGCACGCUUCAUACAUGCAAGUCGAGGGGCAGCAUAAAUUACUUGUAAUUUGAUGGCGACCGGCGAACGGGUGCGUAACGCGUAUGCAACUUACCUUUUACUAGAGAAUAGCCAAGAGAAAUUUUGAUUAAUGCUCUAUACUCUUAUUAACUCACAUGAGUUUUUAAGAAAAGCUCCGGCGGUAAAAGAUGGGCAUGCGUCCUAUUAGCUUGUAGGUGAGGUAACGGCUCACCUAAGCUCCGAUAGGUAGGGGUCCUGAGAGGGAGAUCCCCCACACUGGUACUGAGACACGGACCAGACUUCUACGGAAGGCAGCAGUAAGGAAUAUUGGACAAUGGAGGAAACUCUGAUCCAGCGAUGCCGCGUGAAGGAAGACGGCCCUAUGGGUU
rnacentral:rRNA from 1 species